rnacentral:rRNA from 1 species
UACCAUGGUGGUAACGGGUAACGGGGUGUUAGGGCACGACACCGGAGAGGGAGCCUGAGAAACGGCUACCACAUCCAAGGAUGGCAGCAGGCGCGCAAAUUACCCAAUCCCGACACGGGGAGGUAGUGACAAUAAAUAACAAUACGGGGUUCUUUAGGAUCUCGUAAUUGGAAUGAGUACAAUUUAAAUCUCUUAACGAGGAACAAUUGGAGGGCAAGUCUGGUGCCAGCAGUCGCGGUAAUUCCAGCUCCAAUAGCGUAUAUUAAAGUUGUUGCAGUUAAAAAGCUCGUAGUUGAAUUUCGGGGUCAGUAGGUCGGUCGUGCCACUGGUAUGAACUGGUUUUACUGAUUCCUCCCUCUUGAAGAACUGUAAUGCCAUUAAUUUGGUGUUGCAGGGAAUCAGGACUGUUACUUUGAAAAAAUUAGAGUGUUUAAAGCAGGCUUUAGCUUGAAUACAUUAGCAUGGAAUAAUGAAAUAGGACGUUUGAUCCUAUUUUGUUGGUUUCUAGGAUUGACGUAAUGAUUAAUAGGGAUAGUUGGGGGCAUUAGUAUUCAAUUGUCGGAGGUGAAAUUCUUGGAUUUAUUGAAGACUAACUACUGCGAAAGCAUUUGCCAAGGAUGUUUUCAUUAAUCAAGAACGAAAGUUAGGGGAUCGAAGACGAUCAGAUACCGUCGUAGUCUUAACCAUAAACUAUGCCGACUAGGGAUCGGAUGAUGUUAAUUUUUUAAUGACUCAUUCGGCGCCUUACGGGAAACCAAAGUGUUU